rnacentral:hammerhead_ribozyme from 1 species
GCACUGCUGACCAGUCCCGAACAGGACGAAACAGCUGUCCAGUGC